CCCCACAAGAUUAAAGAAGAGAGUUAAAGCAAGAAUCCUCAUGACAAGGGGUGGCUGGCUACUCUGGCAUCUUCAAGUCUGAGGUUGCUGUUUUCCAGGGGGUGAUGUGUCACCGAUGUGGAAUUUUGGGCAUCCUGGAACAUCUGAGCCAGAGAGAUUCUGAAGAUGGAGGAACAGAGGAACAUUUUGGCACCUCUCAAAGUACAGACAGAUGCCACAACCCAGCUGCCAACAGGAAUCCAGACCCUGGCUAACCAUCACCCAGCUUCCAUCUACUGUGUUGGGCAGACCUGCCUGACUUGGAUAUCAGCUUCUCCAUGAAAAUAUGCAGUGCCUAAAAUUUACACUGAUCAAUUUGUUCACGAGAAAGGACAUUUCUAAAAGAGCGAGGAGACUGACCCCAGAACCAAGAGGAGUACUGGAGAGCAGAAGAUGAAGAAAAACCUUUAAACAGCAGAGCAGUGAAGUGGAGGGAGAGGCGGCCCCUCUCCUUUGCCAGAGACUCCCACUCCCAGAUGCAGGCCGGAGCGAUCCCUCAUAAUUUAAGCUGACACCCCUCAGCGGAGAUGAAAGGAACACCACUCGCUGCUCUCCAACAACAAAUGUCAGCAUCCCUGGAGGCCAUUUAGACACAAACGCAGCAUAAAUCUGACUCCUAGUGGGGAAGUCCAGAGAUUAAGUCUCCAUGCACAGCCUACCAGAGUGAAAUGAAUUUGCUUGGCACAAAGUUUG